AACGCUGGCGGCGUGCCUAACACAUGCAAGUCGAACGGAGCGAAUAUGGAAGGCAACUGAAAUAGGAGCUUAGUGGCGGACGGGUGAGUAACGCGUGGAUAACCUACCCAUUAAACGGGGACAACCCUUGGAAACGAGGGCUAAUACCGGAUGAGCUUACCGAGUGGCAUCGCGAAGUAAGGAAAGGUGGUACAGGAAUGUGCCGACGAUGAUGGAUGGGUCCGCGUCUGAUUAGCUAGUUGGAAAGGUAAAAGCUUACCAAGGCGACGAUCAGUAGCCGGCCUGAGAGGGUGAACGGCCACACUGGGACUGAGAUACGGCCCAGACUCCUACGGGAGGCAGCAGUGGGGAAUCUUCCGCAAUGGGCGCAAGCCUGACGGAGCAACGCCGCGUGUAUGAAGAAGGUUUUCGGAUUGUAAAAUACUGUCUUUGGGGAAGAAGGAUCUUAGAGGAAAUGCUAGGAUAAUGACGGUACCCAAGGAGGAAGCCCCGGCAAACUACGUGCCAGCAGCCGCGGUAAUACGUAGGGGGCAAGCGUUGUCCGGAAUCAUUGGGCGUAAAGGGCGAGUAGGCGGAUGAAUAAGUCCGGCGUGAAAGGUUUGGGCUCAACCCAAAGAGGGCGUCGGAAACUGUACAUCUUGAGGACAGGAGAGGAAAGUGGAAUUCCACGUGUAGCGGUGAAAUGCGUAGAUAUGUGGAGGAACACCAGUGGCGAAGGCGACUUUCUGGACUGUCCCUGACGCUGAGGAGCGAAAGCGUGGGUAGCAAACAGGACUAGAUACCCUGGUAGUCCACGCUGUAAACGAUGAGUGCUAGGUGUAGAGGGUAUCGACCCCUUCUGUGCCGCAGUAAACACAAUAAGCACUCCGCCUGGGGAGUACGGCCGCAAGGUUGAAACUCAAAGGAAUUGACGGGGGCCCGCACAAGCGGUGGAGCAUGUGGUUUAAUUCGACGCAACGCGAAGAACCUUACCAGGGCUUGACAUCCUCUGAAUCUGGCAGAAAUGUCGGAGUGCCUUUCGGGAACAGAGAGACAGGUGGUGCAUGGNNGUCGUCAGCUCGUGUCGUGAGAUGUUUGGGUUAAGUCCCCGCAACNAGCGCAACCCCCUGNAA
rnacentral:rRNA from 1 species